UUUCUUCUCAAAAACAAAUCUCAAACUAUAAUGAAAGUCUCAGAGGCACUGGAAUAUUCCCUUCCUGAGACCUCCAAGUUCAUAUUAUCCUCUUGGGGGCAGAUAAGACUUCCUUUCUUCCAGCAUUCAAGGGUCCCUCAAGGGCUAGCUUGAAUUUUAGAAGUGUGAUUUAAGAAAAGUAGUGUUGGAAUAAUCAAACUGAUAUUGAUGAGGAGUUGUAAAUAGUUUCUUUAAAAGCAAUGGACUUUGUAUUUUUUUUCUGUGUAUUUUUGUUUCCCUAGGUUUGCUGUAACAAAGUACCACAGAUGGAGUAGCGCAAAAAUCACAGAAAUUAUUAUUUCUCAAUUAUGGAGGCUGAAAGACUGAAAUCAAGAUUUUAUGUUGCUGAGCAAUCCUGAAUCACAAACCUGUCAAAGAGGAAGCUGUUUGUGUUUGGGGUUCAGCACACUGUUUGGUAAGAAGAUGCAGCACCAACCCUCAGCUCUUGCCUUUCAUCACUUGAGGGCUGCUCCUGAGGUGACAACUCCCUGGCACUUCUGUCUGCAGAACUUCACAUGUGAGAAUACAUUCCAGCAGCAGGAUGAGAGGAUUUUCCUACAGCACAGAAGUUCUUGGAGCUCCACUGGAUUUGCAAAUGUACCAAGAAGGGCACGUCUUGUUGUGCCUGUUUUUGAACUUUCAAAUCUUAUGUCUCAAAAUGCUGGUUGCUGGUGGAUGGGGUCUUUUGCAGGUAGAUGUGACUCAGGAAAGGGGAAAUGAGCAAGGGAGGAGAGAGACACAAGGAGUUCCACACACUGGGGAAAGGUCCCCACUGUGUUUUGUAUUUGUGUUUUAAAUUUUGGGAGUGACUCAUAGGCAUUUAGCAAAAGUAAUUGAUUAAAUUAACCUUAUCAGUACUGAGGUUUCCUGGCCUCUCUCAUCAGAUACUUGGCUCACAGGCUGGUGGGUAUUUAAUUGGUGACUGGUGAAGAGUGUGGGUGAGUCCCACCUUCACAAGUGUGACAGUUCACCAUCCUUGCUCUAUCACAUCCAGACGUUAUUAAAAUCAAGACAUGGUCCCCUGA